UUGGAGGGACCCUACGAACCAGGAGUCAGGCGAGCCGAUCUGGGGCUGCAGGUGUUACCUCUGAUCUAGGCCGGGGGCUUCAGGGAUCCGAGCCGAGGGAGAAAGCCUUGGGGGCUUCAUCACACUUAUUUGGCUCGCGGGCUUGGGGCCAUCGGGUGGUCCUGUGUCAUCCCCAUUCCUCCUCUGCGAUUCCCCCGUCGCCCCCAAACAGCCCUGGGACUCCCCUGUCUUGCUCCUCGAGACCCUCCCCCAUCACCGUCCUCUGGGCACCCCAUCCUAUGACCCAGUCUCAGGCAUCUUCCGAAAUGCUCGAUGAUAGCCGCCCUCGGGCAUCUCCGCUGCGUCUGUUUGUAGCGCGCCUGGUGAUUCGGCUGCACCCCCGCACAGGAUGUUCCGCUGGGAGCGCUCCAUUCCCCUGCGAGGCUCGGCCGCCGCCCUGUGCAACAACCUCAGUGUGCUGCAGCUGCCGGCUCGCAACCUCACGUAUUUUGGCGUGGUUCAUGGACCAAGCGCCCAGCUUCUCAGCGCUGCUCCUGAGGGUGUGCCCUUGGCCCAGCGCCAGCUCCACGCUAAGGAGGGUGCUGGAGUGAGUCCCCCACUUAUCACUCAGGUGAGGCAUGGAGUUGGGAGUGAUGUUGCUGAACCCAGUCCUACCCCCAGCCUUUUCUCUCCAAACCUUCAGGAGCAGGCAUGUCCUAACCUCAGAAUCUCCCCAGGCAUGUCCUAACCUCAGAAUCUCCCCUCUCCUGCCGGGCGCGGUGGCUCACGCCUGUAAUCCCAACACUUUGGGAGGCUGAGACGGGCACUUGAGGCCAGGAGUUCGAGACCAGCCUGGCCAACAUGGUGAAACCUCUUCUCUACUAAGAAUACAAAAAAAAAAUAACCGGGUGUGGUGGCGUGCACCUGUAAUCCCAGCUACUUGGGUGGCUGAGGCAGGAGAAUCGCUUGAACCCAGGAGGCUGAGGUUGCAGUGAGCCGAGAUGGCGCCACCGCACUCCAGCCUGGGCCACAGAGCAAGACUCCAUCCCAAAAAAAAAAAAAACUCAUCUUCCCUGCUUUGAUUUUCUCCCUACACUGAUGCACCUCCCUCCAGGUCCACUGGUGUGUCCUCCCCUUCCGAGUGCUGCUGGUACUCACCUCACAUCGAGGAAUACAGAUGUACGAGUCCAAUGGCUACACCAUGGUCUACUGGCAUGCACUGGACUCUGGAGAUGCCUCCCCAGGUACCUGCAGGACCAAGUGGGGUGGGGGCAGGGAGUGUUUGCUAGGGCUGCAGGAGGGGAUAUUUCUGAUCAUUCUCCCCUUUCAUAUUCAGUACAGGCUGUGUUUGCCCGGGGAAUUGCUGCCAGUGGCCACUUCAUCUGUGUGGGUGAGGGAGCCAAGUGCAGGGCAUGGAGGGGUGCUGGGGCAUGUGGGCUGUGGCCAGGAGGAUAAUGAGGGCCUGAGGAAAUUGUGGAAAGUUAGAGGGAAGGGUGGAAGUGGAGUGGAAUCAGAGACUCCAGUAAACCAUGGAAGGGUUCAGAGGGUCAGGGUGGGAUAAGACGAGGCUAGUGAAUGAAGGGGCAUGGCCGUUGGAGCAGUGAGAGGGGGUUUUGUUACUAAGGUUUCUGGGAUGGAGUAAGUGUUGAGUAUGGUGGCUGGAGACCCAGGAGGGUCAGGAAGUCAUCACUGGAGUACUGGUUCUGGAUACAGGAACGUGGUCAGGCCGGGUGCUGGUGUUUGACAUCCCAGCAAAGGGUCCCAACAUUGUACUGAGCGAGGAGCUGGCUGGGCACCAGAUGCCAAUCACAGACAUUGCCACCGAGCCUGCCCAGGGACAGGAUUGUGUGGCUGACAUGGUGACGGCAGAUGACUCAGGCUUGCUGUGUAUCUGGCGGUCAGGGCCAGAAUUCACAUUAUUGACCCGCAUUCCAGGAUUUGGAGUUCCGUGCCCCUCUGUGCAGCUGUGGCAGGGGAUCAUAGCAGCAGGCUAUGGGAACGGACAAGUGCAUCUGUAUGAGGCCACUACAGGAAAUCUACAUGUCCAGAUCAAUGCCCAUGCCCGGGCCAUCUGCGCCCUGGACCUGGCUUCUGAGGUGGGCAAGCUACUCUCUGCAGGUGAGGACACCUUUGUGCAUAUCUGGAAGCUGAGCAGAAACCCAGAGAGUGGCUACAUUGAGGUAUGUGUCAUGGGGUGGGUGGAAUGGGGGGGCCCAAGCAUGGGGCAGCAGGCCCUGACGAGCCCUCUGCUCCCCCAGGUGGAACACUGUCAUGGUGAGUGUGUCUCCGACACCCAGCUGUGUGGUGCUCGAUUUUGUGAUUCCUCAGGCAACUCCUUUGCUGUGACUGGCUAUGACCUUGCGGAGAUCCGGAGAUUCAGCAGUGUGUGAGAAGAGCAGCCUUCCUUUGUCCCUGUGGUAUUCAUAAAGUACCCGCUCCACCCA
rnacentral:sRNA from 1 species